CCUACGGGGGGCUGCAGUGGGGAAUAUUGGACAAUGGGCGAAAGCCUGAUCCAGCCAUGCCGCGUGUGUGAAGAAGGCCUUCGGGUUGUAAAGCACUUUCAGUGGGGUAGAAAGCCUUGGGGCUAAUACCCUCGAGGAAGGACAUCACCCACAGAAGAAGCACCGGCUAACUCCGUGCCAGCAGCCGCGGUAAUACGGAGGGUGCGAGCGUUAAUCGGAAUUACUGGGCGUAAAGCGCGCGUAGGCGGUCUGAUAAGCCGGUUGUGAAAGCCCCGGGCUCAACCUGGGAACGGCAUCCGGAACUGUCAGGCUAGAGUGCAGGAGAGGAAGGUAGAAUUCCCGGUGUAGCGGUGAAAUGCGUAGAGAUCGGGAGGAAUACCAGUGGCGAAGGCGGCCUUCUGGACUGACACUGACGCUGAGGUGCGAAAGCGUGGGUAGCAAACAGGAUUAGAUACCCCAGUAGUC
rnacentral:rRNA from 1 species